rnacentral:rRNA from 1 species
CCUACGGGAGGCAGCAGUAGGGAAUAUUGCUCAAUGGGGGAAACCCUGAAGCAGCAAAGCCGCGUGGAGGAUGAAGGCUUUCGGAUUGUAAACCCCUUUUGUUAGAGAAGAAAAUGACGGUAUCUAACGGAUAAGCACCGGCUAACUCCGUGCCCGCAGCCGCGGUAAUACGGCGGGUGCAAGCGGUACUCGGAAUCACUGGGCGUAAAGGGCGCGUAGGGGGGUUAGCAAGUCAGAUGUGAAAUCCUAUGGCUUAACCCUAGAACUGCAGUUGAAACUGUGAUUCUAGAGUGUGGGAGAGGUAGGUGGAAUGCGUGGUGUAGCGGUAAAAUGCGUAGAUAUCAAGAGGAAUACUGAUUGCGAAGGCGACCUACUAGAACAUAACUGACGCUGAUGCGCGAAAGCGUGGGGAGCAAACAGGAUUAGAUACCCCUGUAGUC